AUCUGAUUGGCCGAGACAGCCAUCACCAGUUGUUCCACUGGCUGAGAGUAAAAUUGCCUCUAACCUGAUUGGCUAUCGUCGCAAAUGGUAAACUGCAUUAUCCUUUUCCUUCAUGCCUUUCAGGAAGAAGGGGGGGGGGGGAAGGCCCUGACUGAAUAACAAUCACAUCUGCUCCCCCAGCCUAGCCAGAGUAGUCUCUGAAAGCCAGGGCUCCCGGUCAUGGCACAUGCAUGCAGCACUUUGUGGGUGUACAUUAAUGUAGAUAAGAGAGCUGGGCGAGCACAGUCUGAAGCGAGCUUUCUGAUUCACUGGCUGACGAAGCCUCGCCCUGGCCUUCAGUGAUUACAUAAAAAGAAAGGAAGCGGGGGGGAGAGAAAGCUAGUCGAUUUCUUAAAGGAGCCCUACCAAAUGCUUCCUUCCAAACGCUACACGCUAAGCAUUUGCUUUUUCCAUUUCCCGAUUUUAAAUGUACAGGUUUUGCACAAAGCUUCCCCUCUCUUAACCAAGUAUCUUGGGCUGUUUUGUCAAAGGUCAGCGAACCUCUCUCUUCCACAUUCCCUUGCAACGGGGCAGAAGCAAAGUGACGCCACGGCGGACGCGAAAGUGGAAAGGCUCAGAAAACGAGAGCACAUAAUGGAGAAAAGGACGACGACCUCUCUGCUACUGGGCCGUUUUGUGAAAGGGGCUACUUAUUACGGAGGGAUAAACGAGCAGAGGGGGCUGGCCCUCCCGUUACAAAACAAACC